UACGAAGGGGGCUAGCGUUGCUCGGAAUGACUGGGCGUAAAGGGCGCGUAGGCGGUUUGUACAGUCAGGUGUGAAAUUCCCGGGCUCAACCUGGGGGCUGCACUUGAUACGUAGGAACUUGAGUGGGGAAGAGGAUCGCGGAAUUCCCGGUGUAGAGGUGAAAUUCGUAGAUAUCGGGAGGAACACCGGUGGCGAAGGCGGCGAUCUGGGUAGAUACUGACGCUGAGGUGCGAAAGCGUGGGGAGCAAACAGG
rnacentral:rRNA from 1 species